AGAAUCAACGCUGGCGGCGUGCCUAACACAUGCAAGUCGAACGAGAAAGGGGAGCAAUCCCUGAGUAAAGUGGCGCACGGGUGAGUAACACGUGACUAACCUACCCUGGAGUGGGGGAUAACUGAGGGAACCUUAGCUAAUACCGCAUAAUACCCACGGGUCAAAGGAGCAAUUCGCUUUGGGAGGGGUCGCGGCCGAUUAGUUAGUUGGCGGGGUAAUGGCCCACCAAGACGAUGAUCGGUAU
rnacentral:rRNA from 1 species